AACGAACGCUGGCGGCAUGCCUAACACAUGCAAGUCGAACGAGACCGUCGGGUCGGGUGGCGCACGGGUGCGUAACGCGUGGGAACCUGCGAUUAAGUUCGGAAUAACUCCCCGAUAGGGGUGCUAAUAACGGACAAUUUCUUCAGACCAAUGAUUUAUCGCCUUUGGGUGGGCCCGCGUUUGCUUGGCUGGGUGGUAGGGUAAAAGCCUACCAAGGAGACGUUCCAUAACUGGUCUGAGAGGAUGACAAGCCACACUGGGACUGAGACACGGCCCAGACUGGUACGGGGAGGUGCAGUAGAGAAUAUUGUGGGAGGGACGAAGGUGUGACACAGCAAUGUCGGGUGAGUGAUGAAGGCCUUAGGGUUGUAAAGCUAGUUUACCCGGGAUGAUAAUGACAGUACCGGGAGAAUAAGCUCCGGCUAACUACGUG
rnacentral:rRNA from 1 species